CUUGAUCGAGCCGAGCCACAGCGGCUGGUCGGCGGGCCGCUGGCCGUACGUGGCGAGCAGGGCCUGCGCCUC
rfam:Micromonospora echinofusca strain DSM 43913 genome assembly, chromosome: I